UCGGCAGCAUGAGGAAAAUCUCAUCACAUUCAUGAUCCGAUGAAAGAGGUUAGGAGGAGAUAGUUCCUCCAGGCACAAAGGCUUUUCAUGUCAUGGCUACUUCCCACACUAAAGUCUGAGCCAACCAAAGCAGUGGAACCAGUACGAGGCCCCAAUACCUCUCACGGACACGAAGCUCUGCCUCAUCAUGCAGGACCCUUAGGUGUGUCGGAAAAAUAAGAAAAAGAGGCGUAGGAAAACGUAUAACACACCCGUGUCUUUACUCUCUCUGACAUGAGAUGUCACUAGAACAUUUGUUCCUGGUGACAACUUAGAGUCAACAUCGAGAGAGACAGAGGAUUGGAGGGAAUGACGGAUGCUCGGGUCUUGGUGGGAUCUCGAAUUAUAGUCCAAAGUCACUUUUCCCACCGGAAAAACUGGUGGAGAAAUUGGAGCAGCACAGCUCUUGCGAGGAGGAAAGGAACAUGUGAUGAUGUUCAACUAGGCUCCUGGAAGAGAGAGGGGAUACAGUCAAGAAGAAUGAAAUCAUACCUUCUUCUGAAACGGAAGCCUAUGCUGGUUGCGGUUAGGGCAAGCUGAACAUGCCUUAUAUGAUGCUAACGUCUGCAGAGAACUAAAACCUGAUUGGUCUAAAAGAUGUUGUUUCCGUGAAGGUGUUGCUCUUUGUUUCCUACAGAGAUUUGUUGAGGCAGCCAAUGCCUUUUUACGAAGGAGUAAAGCAAAGAGAUCAGUGAUGAGUUCAGAGAAGUUGUAGAUGCUCAAAAGGAAGUUUCCCGGCAAGGAAAAGAUUAAGGCCAAACAAUAAGAUCUUCUAGAGAAGGCUCUUUUUAGUAUAUGUAUGAAGUUUUGAUAUUGAUUCUUACCUUGGUCUCUCCCAUGACAUUGUUGCCUAUCUUUACUUACACGUACUAAAAACUUCAGGCAUAAAAUUUUGUUUGUGCUCUGAUUUUGUCAUUGUGUUUGGAUUUACAAUUUUGAUUUUUAAAAAUUGUAAACAAUGAUUUUAUUUGUUA